GUCUGAGUGGCUCAGUUGGUUAGGCGUCUGACUUCGGCUCAGGUCAUGAUCUUGCAGUUCACAGGUUCGAGCCCUGUGUUGGGCU
rnacentral:tRNA from 1 species